GACCAAGUUUAAUUAUUUAAAAAUGCCAACGGCACCAAGCUUUUAAAGGGGCCAUUUACAGGGCAUUAAAAUUAAUGAACAAGAAAAAAUCAAUUACGAAAACCCGUUCCCAUGGAUCACUCGAUUAAAUGUUUAUGCUAUGCUUAUACAUGUUGAACCAACAAUAACAACACUAUAUCAGUGAUAGAUCGCCUGUUGGAUGUAUCGAAUACGAUCAAUUUUAUAGAUUAUUUUUAUAUUACCACCGGCAGCUAAGUUAAGAAUGCAAUUUUAAUACAGUAACAAUAAAACACAAAUAGAGGCAGAUGAUUUUAAAUACUACUGCAUAACGACAAUCGCCUUUACACUUUACUUUACUACUUACACUUUAAUGUUUUUUACAGAAACUGCAUAUCUCUUUGAGGGAAAAUUGUGCUUGUGUGUGAGCUUUUUCCCCCUCUAAUGAAAUUUCAGCUUAAAGCUGAUCUUUUUACGCACGUUGGCUAAAAAACUCCAACAUCCCGUUUAAUUUUUUUUCCUCUUUUUUGAAUCAUCAGGGUAUAAACCAGCUCAAACCCACUGACUGACUCUGUUGAUUCUCAUUAAAACAGGGCACUCUUUGUCUCUUAGCCUGAUCGAGCAAUUUGCUUCAUUUGGCGUGACGCGCCACUCUCGGAUCGCAGUAUCAAGUGAUGACGGUUUCAGCCAAAAUUCGUCCAUUUCACAAUAUCUCUCAUCGGAAAUAGGACGAUUCUCAAUCUGAUUGGCAACACUGCAGAAUCCUCAGGUGACCAAUAACUUUGACGGGUCCUCUCAUUAAAUAAAAUUAAAGGAUGCUCAGUAAGAUUUUUUAUUCAAUAUCAAGUUGUAAAUCGACCAAGAGACUUGCCAUUCAGCGGCUCUAGAGUUGCGCUGCUAGCACAUCUAUGAUCUGACAUCGUUUGCUGUUGGCAAACUUUGUUUUAAACUAACGAAUGACUUUACAAUCUCCAAUCUGGAUCAUUUUUACUCAAGAUAAUUCUUCUGAAAGGAUUAGAACGAACUAUCGCACCACCGACUCAAAUUGUAAACAAUUGGAAAGAAACUAAGGGUGUCUCUACCGCGGUGGACGACGUCUAAAACCCUACUUUUCAAAGGGCGAUAUCUCGGCUAAUAUUGAAUGUAGAGAGUUGCUGUUUGGACAGAUCUCAUUAUUUUUUGCUGAUCUACGAGAACAGAAUCAGAACAUAAUUCCCUGACCAACGCAACUGACCAAUUGUGAAAGUGCUUGAGAGCUUUUUUGGAGCCUAGCAAUUUGAUACAGGUAAAACCAGCGUAAACCACCAAAAAGGUAUUUAAAAAUAAUCUAUUAAAAAUUCUUUACUAAGAGAUCACUUAAGUAUUUUCUCUAAAAUUAACAAAACUUAGAAUUUCAAUCCUACCAACAAUAUAUUUGUCUAGGCAUUUGACAAAAUGUAUAAUUCGAUUAUUCACCUGGGACAUUUUUUUUCAACCCAGAGUCCUCUAUUUCACUAACUCUGGGUUUCAAAUCAAGACGAAUUCCUCCAAAUCGGCACCGUGGAUCAGUGGCGUCUCCUGAAUAAUCGAGUAUUGAUAUCUCCCCAUUUGAAAUUAUGGUAAAGAAUCGAUUAUUAAGAUGUUCGUUGCGACUACCCAGUUAAUCGAUCCUUUUCCAUACAUUUAAAUGGCAGAUCGAUCGAUUAAUCGCAAACUGCCAC
rnacentral:lncRNA from 1 species